rnacentral:rRNA from 1 species
GAUGAACGCUGGCGGCGUGCCUAAUACAUGCAAGUCGAGCGAACGGACGAGAAGCUUGCUUCUCUGAUGUUAGCGGCGGACGGGUGAGUAACACGUGGAUAACCUACCUAUAAGACUGGGAUAACUUCGGGAAACCGUAGCUAAUACCGGAUAAUAUUUUGAACCGCAUGGUUCAAAAGUGAAAGACGGUCUUGCUGUCACUUAUAGAUGGAUCCGCGCUGCAUUAGCUAGUUGGUAAGGUAACGGCUUACCAAGGCAACGAUGCAUAGCCGACCUGAGAGGUGGAUCGGCCACACUGGAACUGAGACACGGUCCAGACUCCUACGGGAGGCAGCAGUAGGGAAUCUUCCGCAAUGGGCGAAAGCCUGACGGGGCAACGCCGCGUGAGUGAUGAAGGUCUUCGGAUCGUAAAACUCUGUUAUUAGGGAAGAACAUAUGUGUAAGUAACUGUGCACAUCUUGACGGUACCUAAUCAGAAAGCCACGGCUAACUACGU